AUUGAACGCUGGCGGCAGGCUUAACACAUGCAAGUCGAGCGGAGCGAGGGUGCUUGCACCUUAGCUUAGCGGCGGACGGGUGAGUAAUGCUUAGGAAUCUGCCUAUUAGUGGGGGACAACAUUCCGAAAGGAAUGCUAAUACCGCAUACGUCCUACGGGGGAAAGCAGGGGAUCUUCGGACCUUGCGCUAAUGGAUAAGCCUAAGUCGGAUUAGCUAGUUGGUGGGGUAAAGGCCUACCAAGGCGACGAUCUGUAGCGGGUCUGAGAGGAUGAUCCGCCACACUGGGACUGAGACACGGCCCAGACUCCUACGGGAGGCAGCAGUGGGGAAUAUUGGACAAUGGGCGGAAGCCUGAUCCAGCCAUGCCGCGUGUGUGAAGAAGGCCUUUUGGUUGUAAAGCACUUUAAGCGAGGAGGAGGCUACUAGUAUUAAUACUACUGGAUAGUGGACGUUACUCGCAGAAUAAGCACCGGCUAACUCUGUGCCAGCAGCCGCAGUAAUAC
rnacentral:rRNA from 1 species